AUUGAACGCUGGCGGCAGGCCUAACACAUGCAAGUCGAACGAGUGGCGGACGGGUGAGUAAUGUCUGGGAAACUGCCUGAUGGCGGGGGAUAACUACUGGAAACGGUAGCUAAUACCGCAUACCAUCAGAUGUGCCCAUAUGGGAUUAGCUUGUUGGUGGGGUAACGGCUCACCAAGGCGACGAUCCCUAGCUGGUCUGAGAGGAUGACCAGCAACACUGGAACGGAGACACGGUCCAGACGCCUACGGGAGGCAGCAGUGGGGAAUAUUGCACAAGGGGCGCAAGCCUGAUGCAGCCAUGCCGCGUGUAUGAAGAAGGCCUUCGGGUUGUAAAGUACUUUCAGUGGGGAGGCGUUACCCGCAGAAGAAGCACCGGCUAACUCCGUGCCAGCAGCCGCGGUAAUUC
rnacentral:rRNA from 1 species